rnacentral:tmRNA from 1 species
GUGGCUGAGCCCGUUCCCGGCUUGCUGGCGUGACCGGGAGGGCUGAGAAAAGCACAGUCAGCUGCGCCCGGAGAAGCCCUGUGUCGGUUCCGGAGGACGCGGGUUCGAUUCCCGCCACCUCCACCU